CCUACGGGAGGCAGCAGUGAGGAAUAUUGGUCAAUGGACGAGAGUCUGAACCAGCCAAGUAGCGUGAAGGAUGACUGCCCUAUGGGUUGUAAACUUCUUUUAUAUGGGAAUAAAAUGUUCCACGUGUGGGAUUUUGUAUGUACCAUAUGAAUAAGGAUCGGCUACCUCCGUGCCAGCAGCCGCGGUAAUACGGAGGAUCCGAGCGUUAUCCGGAUUUAUUGGGUUUAAAGGGAGCGUAGGUGGAUUGUUAAGUCAGUUGUGAAAGUUUGCGGCUCAACCGUAAAAUUGCAGUUGAAACUGGCAGUCUUGAGUACAGUAGAGGUGGGCGGAAUUCGUGGUGUAGCGGUGAAAUGCUUAGAUAUCACGAAGAACUCCGAUUGCGAAGGCAGUUCACUGGACUGCAACUGACACUGAGGCGCGAAAGUGUGGGUAUCAAACAGGAUUAGAUACCCGAGUAGUC
rnacentral:rRNA from 1 species